rnacentral:rRNA from 1 species
AUGUGCCCGUUCCCAUCUGUCCUCUCCCUCUCGACCCGCGGCGAGGCUCCGGCGUCGCGCCCUGUCCUCCCCGUGUCCGGAGAUGGCCCGGCUGGGUGCCGCUCAUACGGAGGCUCCUUCGUCCAGGGCCUCCGCCGGCUCAAGAUUUGGCGGCCCUCUGCUCCUCAACGCCCCACAUCGAGCGCCCAAUCCAGGAAAAUAGCCCCGUUGCGCUGCGCUCCUCAUACCCCUGCGUCGUCACAAGAUGGUCCGGCUGGGCGCCGCUAUGACGGACGAGCGUUUGAUGUCCAUGGAAGCCAGCUCCACCACCCAGGCCCUCCUCUGCAAGGCCGGCGAGGACACUGCUUUCUCCAAGCAGAUCGCGCAGAGUACGCUUUGCCCUUCUCAAGCAAUUUCAAGGUUAAUUGUGAUACAUGUGGCAUUUCAAGUAGUAAUUCCGCCCAAAGAAAACCAGAUGGAGGAAAAAAUAAUGAAGAAUUGCUACACCGGAACCAGGGCCAUGCAGUGAUUGAUAUUUCGCUUGUGUCGCAGUUUCAUCUGAGAAUUCUGAACAUGGAAGAUGAAAGACAGAUGUUGGCUGAGUGUGCUGGUCCUAAAGUGUUCCUUCAAUGCUUCUUCACCUGGGAGGCCUCCAAACAAAUGCUAUGUAUUUGCUCUUAUGUGGACGUGGUGGCUAAUCUGAAACAAAAUUAUGAGAUGUUAUGUCUGAAGAAACAAACAACGACUGUGACAGUGGCUCAAAGAUGGAAACCGCCUGAAGCUGAUGUGCUGAAAGUGAACAUUGAUGGUAGUUUCUUCUCGGAUUCAGCUGAGGGAGGCUCUGGUUUUAUAGUCAGAGACAACUCAUGCAAUGCGGUGGGCUCAGGAGCAGGAAAACUUCGUCAGCUUCAAGACCCUAUGCAUGCAGAGGCGGAGGCGUGCUUGCAUGCAAUUCAGGAGGCUCAAACUUGGGCAAUGAGGAGAAUUACUAGACAGACGCACAGGAACUGGUAUAAGGAGAAGCAUCAAGCUAUAAAGGAGAUCAAGAGUAUCAACAUGGUUACAUGGAUGACCCGAGGGAGAGACGAAGGAAGAGUGAUAUGUGUCCUGCUCCUACACCUUUUUGGUUACACUUUUCCAUAA